rnacentral:lncRNA from 1 species
AUACCGCAAGACAGUCAACAUAAUAUUAUUUUGAUUUCAGCAGCAUACAAGUUAACUGAGAAAAAGUAUAAUAUCUACAUUACCGACUAAUCAGCGAGAAUUUUCAAGCAAUGGUACUUUAGGUAAAUCUAACAAACGUAAUUAUAACAAAAUCACUUACAUAUCAAAGAACCCCAAAUUGAAAGCGUCAAAACCCUAGUCCUGAUUGGAAGUAAAAAAGCAAAGAUUGCCCAACAGCCGAAUUGAGAGAGCGUGAAAAUUAGAACUGCAGACAUCCGAUUUACGGAUUUUCUGACUUUUGGGCCGAGGUGGAGAUUUGGGGAGAAGACAUAAAAUUCGGGUCGAACCAAGAAAACGAG